rnacentral:lncRNA from 1 species
GUUCUCCUUCAAUAGUUCAAAUAAUCAUGGGGAUUUUAUAGAAAUAAACAGACAAGAAUCAUGGAGAGUGAGAUCAGAAUGGCUUUUGAAGAGUACUCACACUCAUGUGACCCAUUUAAGUACUAAACAGAUCAUGGCCAGAUAUGAAGAGGAAAUGGAUCUCAGUUUUGGUUGCCUUGGAUUUCAUUAGCCUGUCCACAUGCCCUUGCUGCUAAUUUUGCAAAAACAAAGAGCAACCCUUGCAUUCUUCUGCUCAUUGUGGCAUUAUUUCUCUUUGUGUGAGCAUCACUACAGCAUCUAGCCAAACAAUUGCUUCUAGGAUCUGGGUGGGUGCUCAGUGAAAGAGCUCAAAGCCCAUGUCAUCAUCAGAUUCUUCUGAUAGAAAAAGGUGCACCUCCCUCCAACCCCAGGAAGCCAGCUUACUGCUCACUAGCAGAUCAUGGUCCUCAAUGCUUUUACUGCUGAACUUGUGGAUGACCUUGAGAUGCUCCUCAUCUACCUCGAUUCCAAGGCUCUGUCUAGGAUCUUCUUCAGGUCCUUGGCUUUGGGGAAGUCAUUGCUGCCAAGGACAGCCAAAAGUUUCAGAUUUCAUGGAUUGUUUUCAGAAGGAUUAUUGAAGAAAAAUGAGGUGUCACACACAUACAGAGAAAAUAUAUGGCAUCUCUGGGUUCAAGGUCAGAAAUUCCAGACAAAUCAUCUACUCAUCUCUGUGGUGACUGUACAGAGCAAUGUUAAGACACAAGUAAGAUAUAACAUACUACCAAGGACCAACAUGCAAGAAAUGUCUGAAAAGAUAUAAUUAAAGAUAUGUGAGGUUUGAAAAGGGAUCUAAGCUGGUUGUGAGAAAGAGAACAGUUCACAUACUGAAUGAUCAUCCUGCCAAGAGACUAUGAAUUGCAUCCUCCAUGUAGAAUAAAUGGGAAGAUACUGACA